UACGAAGGGGGCUAGCGUUGUUCGGAAUCACUGGGCGUAAAGGGCGCGUAGGCGGCUUAUAAGUCGGGGUGAAAGCCUGUGGCUCAACCACAGAAUUGCCUUCGAUACUGCAUGGCUUGAGACCGGAAGAGGUAAGUGGAACUGCGAGUGUAGAGGUGAAAUUCGUAGAUAUUCGCAAGAACACCAGUGGCGAAGGCGGCUUACUGGUCCGGUUCUGACGCUGAGGCG
rnacentral:rRNA from 1 species